GACGCCAGCCGCCUGCUCUCUUUUGUUCUUGGCCGGGAGCUGCCUGCCGCAGCCCAGCCAAUCACCACCCGGCCGCCCCCUUCCCCUCCCGUCCGCGCCACUCUGGGGGUUCUCCCCACUCGCGACCCCCGGUCCCACGCACACCUCCCGCUGACUCGACCCCUGCCUGGCUACCCCCAGUCAGCCACUUCCGCGGGUGCUCUCUGGCCUGCAGUGUUUGUGAAAAGGACUUGCUUUGGCCCGUCACUUGUUUCCAAUCCUGGCAACCUUUUGGACAACGUUUUUGAAAUUAGCAUCCCUUUCUGAAGAUUUAUGCUUGUGAACAAGACAAGGAUAUCUGCUAUCACCUCUUCUAUUCAAGAUUGUAUUAGAGUUCUUAGCCUGGAAAAUAAGGAUGAAGGAGAUUUCUGGCUUUCAGAGUGACUUCAGGAAUGGGAGAUACUUCUUAGAAGAUGCAUUGAAUAUCAUCCAGAUCAUUAAAGGCCACAUACCAAUAAAAUUUGAACUUCUCUAGAGGAGAGGCUAUUUUAUUCACUCACAUGUGCCUAAUACUUAUCACAAAAACUGACUCAGCUUUAGACCAGGCAUGGCAAAUAGGUUUCAUUAACUCUGCCAAUUCCAGACUAUUAGUAAUAGUGAUCUGGAACCCUGUAGAGGAGAAUGCAUUCUGAAACUGCAUCCAGGGAUCAGUGGGAAAGAUUCUAUGAUUAGUUAGCAAUGUCUGCCAUGGGUGCCAAAGACAAAAUGGUAGCACAUGCAACACAUACUCGCCAUCUGAGGCCUAAAGAUUUCACGACCAUGGGAUCUUGGCUGAUGAUGUGGGGCACUGAAUUAAGAGCAUUGUUUGCCUAGGAACUCAUCAUAGGACCAGAAGGAUUUUAAGCUAAUAAUGGAUGAUAUGACAGAAAAGCCAAUGAAUCGGUCUGUUAAUUACUGUAAAGGAAGUCAGGUUUGAUGGAAAGAAAAUUAAUAGUCAAGAGUGUUGGUAGGAAGUCAAUGUGAAAUGGAAAGAUAAUCCAAAACAAUACUUUGACCUCCAAUUUCUAUGGUAGCAUCUUUUCCCAGACAGAUGUUCCAUGGGAAACUGCUCUUCCAGACAUUUAUAAACAGGCCUACUCCCGGUAUUUUUGAGACCCGAGUAUAAAUUGAAGAGAAUAAAUUGAAGCUGCAUAUCAUAUGAAAACAUUGAAAAGUUUAUAAAUCAAGCUAACAUACUGUUAGAUAAAAUGUCUUCUAGCCACCUACUUUGACAAAAAUACCUUCAAAAUGAUAAAAUUGAAAAAUUUGUAAAUAGCUAUGGUCUUUACAUGAUUGAAAGGUGGCAAAAAUCAAGGAUGAAUUUAAUUAUUAUUGUGCAUGUUUGGUGGUUCUGUUGAUGGUCCAGUGAUGUUUGGGUGAGUAAUAACAUAAAGGCAUACAUGAUUGUUCAGUUAUUUUGUAUUUAUUCUAUAGCAUUUACUCCCUUGCCUUCAUUUCAUCAAAAUCAAGAUUUAUAUAAGAUACU